UACAGAGGUCUCAAGCGUUGUUCGGAUUCAUUGGGCGUAAAGGGUGUGUAGGUGGCGCGCUAAGUCGGGUGUGAAAUUUCGGAGCUUAACUCCGAAACUGCAUUCGAUACUGGCGUGCUUGAGGACUGGAGAGGAGACUGGAAUUCUGGUGUAGCGGUGAAAUGCGCGAUAUCAGAGGAACGAGACCGGUGGCGAAGGCGGGUCUCUGGGCAACAUCUGACGCUGAGGAGCGAA
rnacentral:rRNA from 1 species